CUAUGAACGUAAAGUUCAUGGCGGAAGGAG
rnacentral:ncRNA from 1 species